UCAUCCUACGGGAGGCAGCAGUGGGGAAUAUUGCACAAUGGGGGAAACCCUGAUGCAGCGACGCCGCGUGAGUGAAGAAGUAUUUCGGUAUGUAAAGCUCUAUCAGCAGGGAAGAUAAUGACGGUACCUGAGUAAGAAGCCCCGGCUAACUACGUGCCAGCAGCCGCGGUAAUACGUAGGGGGCAAGCGUUAUCCGGAUUUACUGGGUGUAAAGGGAGCGUAGACGGCAUAGCAAGUCUGAAGUGAAAGCCCGUGGCUCAACCGCGGAACUGCUCUUGGAACUGCGUGGCUAGAGUGCAGGAGGG
rnacentral:rRNA from 1 species